UGAGGAGUGGCCGAGUUAAAGCAGUAGACUGUAAAUCUACCUACGGAAGAUAUUUCCCUCCUUAU
rnacentral:tRNA from 1 species